GGAGCCCGGAUUAUGGCCUGGGAUUGAACGCUGGCGAUGCUUGGCUACCAUGCAAGUCUGCCUACAGCACGUGGACUUCGGUCUGGUGGCGAUGGCGAACGGGUGAGUAAUGGACAAACGUGCCUAGUAGCGGGACAACUACGGCAGCAGUAGCGACACUGCGCUACGCCCUUCGGGGGAAAGCGGGGACCUUCGGGCCUGCACUAUUAGAGCGGGCCGAUAUCGGAUUAGCUAGCUGGUGGGGUAACGGCUACCAAGGCGACGAUCCGUAGCUACGAGAGGACGAUCAGGCCACAUCGGGACUGAGACGCCCAGACUUCCUACGGGAGGCGGUGGUAAUUCUUAACAAUGGGAAAACCCCGAUCCAGCCAUCUGGCGUGUGCGAUGAAGGCCUCGGGUUGCAGUAAAGCACUUUUGGCAGGAAAGAAACGGCACGGGAUAAUACUCCCGUGCAACUGACGGUACCUGCAGAAUAAGCACCGGCUAACUACAUGCCAGCAGCCGCGGUAAUACGUAGGGCGCAAGCGUUAAUCGGAAUUAUUGGGCGCGCGUGCGCAGGCGGUUCGGAAAGAAAGAUGUGAAAUCCCAGAGCCUUAACUUGGAACUGCAUUUUUAACUACCGAGCCAGAGUGUGUCAGAGGGAGGUGGAAUUCCGCGUGUAGCAGUGAAAUGCGUAGAUAUGCGGAGGAACACCGGAUGGCGAAGGCAGCUUCCUGGGAUAACACUGACGUUCGAGUGCACGAAAGCGUGGGAGCAAACAGGAUUAGAUACCCUGGUAGUCCACGCCCUAAACGAUGUCAACUAGCUGUUGGGGCCUUCGGGCCUUGGUAGCGCAGUUAACGCGUGAAGUUGACCGCCUGGGGAGUACGGUCGCAAGAUUAAACUCAAAAUGAAUCGACGGACUCCGCACAAGCGGUGGAUGAUGUGAUUAUCUGAUAAAGAACGCGAAAACCUUACCUACCCUUGACAUGUCUGGAAUCCCGAAGAGAUUUGGGAGUACUGCAAGAACCGGAACACAGGUGCCGUAUGGUUGCUGUUGUUUGUAGAGUUUAUAAAGAGAAAUGAGAGCGAGGUAGUAGAAUUUUGGAUGAGUGCAAGUCAGUUAUUUUAAAGGGCACUUAUGCCGAUUGCCGGUGACAACCGGAGGAAGGUGGGGAUGACGUCAAGUCCUCUCAUGGCCUGCAUGGCAGGGCUUCACACGUCAUACAAUGGUCGGGACAGAGCGGUCGCCAACCCGCGAGGGGGAGCCAAUCCUGGUGAAACCCGAUCGGGAAGUCCGGAUCGUGCAGUCUGCAACUCGACUGCGUGAAGUCGGAAUCGCUAGUAAUCGAUCAGCAUGUCGCGGUGAAUACGUUCCCGGUCUGUACAUACCGCCUGUCACACCAUGGGAGGGUUUUACCAGAAGUAGUUAGCUCCAACCGUAAAGGAGGAUGAUGGAAGACGGUGGUAGGAUUCAUGACUGGGGUGAAGUCGUAACAAGGCAAC
rnacentral:rRNA from 1 species